rnacentral:rRNA from 1 species
UACGAAGGGGGCUAGCGUUGUUCGGAAUUACUGGGCGUAAAGCGUGCGCAGGCGGCUUCUCAAGUCAGGGGUGAAAGCCCAGAGCUCAACUCUGGAAUUGCCUUUGAGACUGAGUGGCUUGAGUACGAGAGAGGUGAGUGGAAUUCCCAGUGUAGAGGUGAAAUUCGUAGAUAUUGGGAAGAACACCGGUGGCGAAGGCGGCUCACUGGGAGUUUUCUGACGCUGAGGAACGAAAGCCAGGGUAGCGAACGGG